rfam:Escherichia coli str. K-12 substr. MG1655, complete genome.
GUUAUGAUGGCGUCGCUAGCCUCAGUAAAUCCUUACUCCGGCGGUGCGCAACCCGUGCGCGUGAACCACUAUCUGAAUGCU